rnacentral:rRNA from 1 species
UGGGGAAUUUUGGACAAUGGGCGAAAGCCUGAUCCAGCAAUGCCGCGUGUGUGAAGAAGGCCUUCGGGUUGUAAAGCACUUUUGUCCGGAAAGAAAUCCUUGGCUCUAAUACAGUCGGGGGAUGACGGUACCGGAAGAAUAAGCACCGGCUAACUACGUGCCAGCAGCCGCGGUAAUACGUAGGGUGCAAGCGUUAAUCGGAAUUACUGGGCGUAAAGCGUGCGCAGGCGGUUUGCUAAGACCGAUGUGAAAUCCCCGGGCUCAACCUGGGAACUGCAUUGGUGACUGGCAGGCUAGAGUAUGGCAGAGGGGGGUAGAAUUCCACGUGUAGCAGUGAAAUGCGUAGAGAUGUGGAGGAAUACCGAUGGCGAAGGCAGCCCCCUGGGGCCAAUACUGACGCUCAUGCACGAAAGCGUGGGGAGCAAACAGGAUUAGAUACCCUGGUAGUCCACGCCCUAAACGAUGUCAACUAGUUGUUGGGGAUUCAUUCCUUAGUAACGUAGCUAACGCGUGAAGUUGACCGCCUGGGGAGUACGGUCGCAAGAUUAAAACUCAAAUGAAUUGACGGGGUCAUAGCUGUUUCCU